GGGUUUAUAGCUCAGUUGGUUAGAGCACUACCUUGACAUGGUAGGGGUCGUUGGUUCGAAUCCAAUUAAACCCACCA
rnacentral:tRNA from 104 species